rnacentral:lncRNA from 1 species
GGAAGAGGCUCCGGCCUCAUUGGGUGCGUGAGAAGGGAAGGGUGGAUCCUAAAAGAUCCCUUUUACAGUUGGAUUCUCCCUCUUGGAUCUGGCUCUGCCUUAGUCCGACCUAGAGGGAUCAGCUUCGCCCACGCCCACUCUCACCCGGAACCUUUCAUCUCUUAUUGAAGCCUUUUAGGCCCAUUGGGAUGUUCAUUAGAACUCUGAAAACUACAGUUCUCCCCUUUAUGAGGACUGCACCACAGCUCGCCCUCUCCUGGGUUCCGCCUGGUUGCAGAGUGAGCCCAUGGGACAGCCCUCUGAAAUUAUACUGCUUACAACCAUGCUGAGUCUGCAAGGACUUCGUCCAAGCCUUUCCGUCCAGGACCUCAAACAGAUCCAAUCACAAGAAGAGAGAUUUCAGGAAAGAGAAAAUUAUUCCUAUCAUCGGGGUUUUUGAAGAACAUGAAAUGACUGGGAAAAUAAUCAUGUUAAGUGGAAAAAAAAAAGAAAUCUAUCUGUUGUAAUUUUCAAAUAAUUUUUAAAUAAAUUUGAAAAAUUAAGAGAACUAUA